CUAAGCACCCCGAGGUGCAGAGACGCCUAGGGCUCUACACACCACAGCAAAGCUCCAGCACUUCAGAAUCAUUUUUAGAGAGUCAGCAGACAGGAUUCGCCUCAUGAACUAAGAAGCCACAGAAGAGACGUUGAGAAAAUGGUCAGAACCCACACUUUGCCAACAGCUGUAUUCAAGAAACGCUGUACCAUGUAAACACGGGAAGAAAGCCUGCCUAAAUCGCAAGGUUAGCAGCCCUUGAACUUCAGGAGAGGGUCCUGGUCACUCUGCUCCUUUGUCUCACACUGGAAACUCUCACUGAAGUGGACACCACAGAAACAUCUCAUCCUGGCUCCAGGAAAAACCAGAAGCCGGCUUUGUCACAGACUGAAAAAUGAAAAUCCCUUUUCAACACCCUCUCCAUAUUCCAGAGUGUUCUGUGGCUGCAGAGGACAUCACUUCCCAUGGAUACUUGUGUUCUUCCAGGUGUGGCCAUCUGUCUCCCUUCAUCGACAUUGAGGUCAUCUCCGUUUAGGGAAGGAAACUGUUGGCAUUUCUACCCAAGGAUUCUCUCACGUGGAACUGACGUUCUCUGAAGAAGCUGCAUCUGUGUUAAAGUCCUAAAGACUGACCUCGGCCUACAGGAACACAGUGACUAUGGGAAGAUGGAAGGUUGCAGGUUGACAGCCAAAAUUAUCGAGGGCUGUCUUAGUCCCCUUAAUAGCCAUUUGCUUUCAACCUCUGACCUAAUUUCUUUAUGACUAUUAUGGGAACCUCUGAGCAUCAUCUGUAACGGCCCACCUGAUCCUGGCACCAUUUUAUUUGAUAAAUGCACUCAUCUAUGACUUUUCUUUUGUUCUGUGACUAAAAAUUCAUGUAACUCCUUCCACAGGGGAGCACAUUAUUCAGGGUAACUGGAAUC